rnacentral:lncRNA from 1 species
UUGGGCUGAAGGAAGGGCAUUCCUCUUUGUAAAGUUUUGGUUAAUACCAUAUGGCCAAGCAACAUACUCCCUUCCUCUCUCCACUUUAUCAUUACAAAAAAAAAAAAAAAACCUGCAGAUUGAGACUGUGGGAGGUGACAUUUUUUCAUUUCUCAGAAAUCCUCCAUAAGGCCGAGUAGAGAAACAGAAAGAGGGAAACAGCUUAGUGUCGAAAUGAGGUUUUCUCUCUGUGUUUUGAAAUGAGGUGGCUUGUUUUCAGCUUUAAGGAACAACAGCUCUGUAGAGGAGAGUGGUAAUGGUGGAGGGAGUGGUUGGUUACCUGCUUUCUUGACCCUUUCCCCCACCUCAAAGUUUGGUAGUUGGGGUCAGGUCUGAAACAGGAUAGUGGUUUUGUGUCUUCCUUUCCUUCUGGUGAACCACGGUAGAUACAUCAACCCAUCAUGGUGCUACUGAGCAAAAGAAAACUUCUACUUCAAAAUAAGGAUUUGAUGAGCAAUCGCAGAAAUAGUUUUUUUUGUUUGUUUGUUUUGUUUUGUUUUGUUUUUAGGGCCACACACGCAGCAUAUGGAAGUUCCUGGGCUACGAGUCCAGUCAGAACUGCAGCUGCUGGCCUUUGCCACAGCCACAGCAUGUUGCCGUGAGCUGUGGUAUAGGUCGCAGACGCAGCUCAGAUCUGGCGUUGCUGUGGCUGUGGUGUAGGCCGGUGGCUACAGCUCCAAUUAGACCCCUAGCCUGGGAACUGCCAUAUGCCAUGAGUGCGGCCCUAGAAAAGGCAAAAAAAAACAAAAACAAAAAAAGAAAAAAUAUUUAGACAGGAUUUUCCUAAAAUGAGGAAAAGUCUUGAAAGACAUUUGAAAACAACAAAAACACUUAAUCCCAUCCAAGUUAUGGAUCACUGUCACCCAGAAAACUGUGUAUUUUGAUAAAGGGUGAUCUAUGGGACUGAAAUUGAGUAACAGAACCAAGGAUUUAGAAUUUUAAAAUUGAAAAAGACUAGGUCUCAGGCCCUAAUUUUCUCCCCUGUAAACUGGAUUCAGUUGUCUUCCCCAUCUUAUUGUGAAGAUUUAAAGAAAGAGUACAUGGCAAGUGCUUUACCUUAAAUCGCUGCACAAACAGAAGGAAUUUUGGGAAAUGUCCCUUAAAGGUCUGCUCUAUUAGCAACCUAUUUUUGCUAUUAUUAUUGCUAUUAUUGCAACCUAUUAUUGUUAUUAUUAAACCUCUAUUAGCAUGUUCAAGUCCUUGAAUUCCCAGGGAGAAUACCCUUAGAAGCUGACGUCAAUAGAUAGCAUGUUGAAUUAAAAGGUUCUACAGGAGUUGUCUUUGUGGCUCAGUGGUUAACGAACCCAACUAGGAUCCAUGAGGAUUUGGGUUCAAUCCCUGGCCUUGCUCAGUGGGUUAAGGAUCUGGCAUUGCCGUAAGCUGUUGUGUAGGUAGCAGACGUGGCUCAGAUCCAGUGCUGCUGGGGCUGUGGUGUAGGCUGAUGGCUGCAGCUCCGACUCGACCCCUAGCCUGGGAACUUCCAUAUGCCACAGGUGCGGCCCUUUAAGAAAAAAAAAAAUAGGUUCUACAGCCUACAGCUGUAUUUUGGAGCAGAGGAGACACAACGGGACUUCUGUGGCUGGGCAGAGGGAGAAUUCAACCAGAUGGAAGAAAUCCCAGAGGUAAGUAAACUCCCUGCCUGCCAAACCUGCCCUUUUACCUGUUUCUGUACAGCUUAAAAGCUAAGAAUGCUUUUUGCAUGUUUAAAUGGUUGAAAAAAAGAAUAUUCAGGUGACACGAAGUUAAAAUUUCAAUGUCAAAUAAAACUUGAAACCC